rnacentral:rRNA from 1 species
UACGUAGGGGGCUAGCGUUGUCCGGAUUUAUUGGGCGUAAAGAGCGUGUAGGCGGCCAGGUAGGUCCGUUGUGAAAACUCGAGGCUCAACCUCGAGACGUCGGCGGAAACCCUCUGGCUAGAGUCCGGAAGAGGAGAGUGGAAUUCCUGGUGUAGCGGUGAAAUGCGCAGAUAUCAGGAAGAACACCUAUGGCGAAGGCGGCUCACUGGCCCGAUACUGACGCUGAGGCACGAAAGCGUGGGGAGCAAACAGG